UACGUAGGGGGCUAGCGUUGUCCGGAAUCAUUGGGCGUAAAGCGCGUGUAGGCGGUCCGGUAAGUCCGCUGUGAAAGUCGGGGGCUCAACCCUCGAAUGCCGGUGGAUACUGUCGGGCUAGAGUGCGGAAGAGGCGAGUGGAAUUCCUGGUGUAGCGGUGAAAUGCGCAGAUAUCAGGAGGAACACCUGUGGCGAAGGCGGCUUUCUGGGCCUUACCUGACGCUGAGACGCGAAAGCGUGGGGAGCGAACCGG
rnacentral:rRNA from 1 species